rnacentral:rRNA from 1 species
CCUACGGGUGGCAGCAGUGGGGAAUAUUGCACAAUGGGGGAAACCCUGAUGCAGCGACGCCGCGUGAGUGAAGAAGGAAUUCGUUAUGUAAAGCUCUAUCAGCAGGGAAGAAAAUGACGGUACCUGAGUAAGAAUCACCGGCUAACUACGUGCCAGCAGCCGCCGCAAUACGUAGGGGGCAAGCGUUAUCCGGAUUUACUGGGUGUAAAGGGGGCGUAGACGGCAGUGCAAGUCUGUAGUGAAAGGCGGGGGCUCAACCCCCGGACUGCUCUGGAAACUGUACGGCUGGAGUGCAGGAGAGGUAAGUGGAAUUCCUAGUGUAGCGGUGGAAUGCGUAGAUAUUAGGAGGAACACCAGUGGCGAAGGCGGCUUACUGGACUGUAACUGACGUUGAGGCUCGAAAGCGUGGGGAGCAAACAGGAUUAGAUACCCGAGUAGUC